rnacentral:rRNA from 1 species
UUAAGCAUAUCAAUAAGCGGAGGAAAAGAAACCAACAGGGAUUGCCCUAGUAACGGCGAGUGAAGCGGCAACAGCUCAAAUUUGAAAUCUGGCUUUCGGGCCCGAGUUGUAAUUUGUAGAGGAUGAUUUUGAUGCGGUGCCUUCCGAGUUCCCUGGAACGGGACGCCAUAGAGGGUGAGAGCCCCGUCUGGUUGGAUGCCAAAUCUCUGUAAAUCUCCUUCGACGAGUCGAGUAGUUUGGGAAUGCUGCUCUAAAUGGGAGGUAUAUGUCUUCUAAAGCUAAAUACCGGCCAGAGACCGAUAGCGCACAAGUAGAGUGAUCGAAAGAUGAAAAGCACUUUGAAAAGAGAGUUAAAAAGUACGUGAAAUUGUUGAAAGGGAAGCGUUUAUGACCAGACUUGGGCUUGGUUAAUCAUCUGGGGUUCUCUCCAGUGCACUUUUCCAGUCCAGGCCAGCAUCAGUUUUCGCCGGGGGAUAAAGGCUUCGGGAAUGUGGCUCCCCUCGGGGAGUGUUAUAGCCCGUUGUGUAAUACCCUGGUGGGGACUGAGGUUCGCGCUUCUGCAAGGAUGCUGGCGUAAUGGUCAUCAACGACCCGUCUUGAAACACGGACCAAGGAGUCGUCUUCGUAUGCGAGUGUUCGGGUGUCAAACCCCUACGCGUAAUGAAAGUGAACGCAGGUGAGAGCUUCGGCGCAUCAUCGACCGAUCCUGAUGUUCUCGGAUGGAUUUGAGUAAGAGCAUACGGGGCCGGACCCGAAAGAAGGUGAACUAUGCCUGUGUAGGGUGAAGCCAGAGGAAACUCUGGUGGAGGCUCGCAGCGGUUCUGACGUGCAAAUCGAUCGUCAAACAUGGGCAU